UUCCGGUUGAUCCCGCCGGAGGCCAUUGCUAUCGGGGUCCGAUUUAGCCAUGCUAGUCGUACGGGUUUAGACCCGUGGCGAAUAGCUCAGUAACACGUGGCCAAACUACCCUAUGGACCCGGACAACCUCGGGAAACUGAGGCUAAUCCUGGAUAGGGCUCCCACGCUGGAGUGCGGGGAGCUCGAAAUGCUACGGCGCCAUAGGAUGUGGCUGCGGCCGAUUAGGUAGACGGUGGGGUAACGGCCCACCGUGCCGAUAAUCGGUACGGGUUGUGAGAGCAAGAGCCCGGAGAUGGAAUCUGAGACAAGAUUCCAGGCCCUACGGGGCGCAGCAGGCGCGAAACCUUUACACUGCACGCCAGUGCGAUAGGGGGACCCCGAGUGCGAGGGCAUACAGUCCUCGCUUUUACACACCGUAAGGAGGUGUGCGAAUAAGUGCUGGGCAAGACCGGUGCCAGCCGCCGCGGUAAUACCGGCAGCACAAGUGAUGGCCAAUAUUAUUGGGCCUAAAGCGUCCGUAGCCGGCCGAACAGGUCCGUCGGGAAAUCCAUCCGCCUAACGGAUGGGCGUCCGGCGGUAACUGUUCGGCUUGGGACAGGAAGACCCGAGGGGUACGUCCGGGGUAGGAGUGAAAUCCUGUAAUCCUGGACGGACCAUCGAUGGCGAAAGCACCUCGGGAAGACUGAUCCGACGGUGAGGGACGAAAGCUGGGGUCUCGAACCGGAUUAGAUACCCGGGUAGUCCCAGCCGUAAACGAUGUUCGCUAGGUGUGGCGCAGGCUACGGGCCUGCGCUGUGCCGUAGGGAAGCCGUGAAGCGAACCGCCUGGGAAGUACGUCCGCAAGGAUGAAACUUAAAGGAAUUGGCGGGGGAGCACUACAACCGGAGGAGCCUGCGGUUUAAUUGGAUUCAACGCCGGA
rnacentral:rRNA from 1 species